GACGAACGCUGGCGGCGUGCCUAAUACAUGCAAGUCGAACGCAGUGGGGACGGGUGAGUAACACGUGGGUAACCUCCCAUCAGAGGGGAUAACACUUGGAAACAGGUGCUAAACCGAUACUGAUGGAUGGACCCGCGGUGCAUUAGCUAGUGGGUGAGGUAACGGCUCACCAAGGCCACGAGGCAUAGCGGGCCUGAGAGGGGGAUCGGCAACACUGGAACGGGGACACGGCCCAGACUCCUACGGGAGGCAGCAGUAGGGAAUCUUCGGCAAUGGACGAAAGUCUGACAGAGCAACGCCGCGGGGGUGAAGAAGGUUUUCGGAUCGUAAAACUCUGUUAUUGGAGAAGCGGUAUCUGACCAGAAAGCCACGGCUAACUACGUGCCAGCAGCCGCGGUAAUUC
rnacentral:rRNA from 1 species